rnacentral:rRNA from 1 species
CCUACGGGUGGCAGCAGUGAGGAGUAUUGGUCAAUGGGCGGGAGCCUGAACCAGCCAAGUCGCGUGAAGGAAGAAGGUACUUAGUAUUGUAAACUUCUUUUGUCGGGGAACAAAGGCGGAGACGCGUCUCCGGAUGAGUGUACCCGAAGAAAAAGCAUCGGCUAACUCCGUGCCAGCAGCCGCGGUAAUACGGAGGAUGCGAGCGUUAUCCGGAUUUAUUGGGUUUAAAGGGUGCGCAGGCGGGAGAUCAAGUCAGCGGUAAAAUGUCGGGGCUCAACCCCGGCCGGCCGUUGAUACUGGCAUCCUUGAGUACAGUAGAGGUAGGCGGAAUUCGUGGUGUAGCGGUGAAAUGCUUAGAUAUCACGAAGAACUCCGAUUGCGAAGGCAGCCUGCUGGACUGUAACUGACGCUGAUGCUCGAAAGUGUGGGUAUCAAACAGGAUUAGAUACCCCUGUAGUC